rnacentral:lncRNA from 1 species
AGAAUAAGCAAAAAUGGCAGACACAAGAGGUGGCAGUAUUGCCUGUAAUGACCGCUGUGGAUGCCCUGUUCCUUGCCCUGGUGGUACAGCAUGCAGGUGGCAACUAUGAAUUACACACAUCUUCACGCUCUUUCGUGUUUAAUGCUCUUGUUUAUCAUUUCUAUAGCUAUUUUCUAAAAGCAGAGUAUGUAUGAAAUAUGGUUCAGGUGCAGAAUAAGCCAAGCGGCAGGUGGGGCGGGAGAUGCACACAGCAAAUGCUCUUGCGGAGAGCACUGCGGAUGCAACCCAUGCACAUGCCCAAAGGGUUUGGAGACAGUAGGAGUUGGCAGGGCUAGUUGCAAGUGCGGCCCUGGUUGCACCUGCGCUACGUGUGCCUCUUAGGUUGCCCUCCUAGCUCCUGCGUGCCGCUUAAGCAGCCUUCCAGGUUGCCUUUACAUUGGCCCAGCUCUGGCCUAGGCCAAUGAAACACUGUAUAUAUUUGCU